AGUGAACGCUGGCGGUAGGCCUAACACAUGCAAGUCGAACGGCAGCACAGUAAGAGCUUGCUCUUACGGGUGGCGAGUGGCGGACGGGUGAGGAAUACAUCGGAAUCUACUUUUUCGUGGGGGAUAACGUAGGGAAACUUACGCUAAUACCGCAUACGACCUACGGGUGAAAGCAGGGGAUCUUCGGACCUUGCGCGAUUGAAUGAGCCGAUGUCGGAUUAGCUAGUUGGCGGGGUAAAGGCCCACCAAGGCGACGAUCCGUAGCUGGUCUGAGAGGAUGAUCGGCCACACUGGAACUGAGACACGGUCCAGACUCCUACGGGAGGCAGCAGUGGGGAAUAUUGGACAAUGGGCGCAAGCCUUAUCCAGCCAUACCGCGUGGGUGAAGAAGGCCUUCGGGUUGUAAAGCCCUUUUGUUGGGAAAGAAAAGCAGCAGGUUAAUACCCCGCUGUUCUGACGGUACCCAAAGAAUAAGCACCGGCUAACUUCGUG
rnacentral:rRNA from 1 species